UACGUAGGGUGCGAGCGUUAAUCGGAAUUACUGGGCGUAAAGUGUGCGCAGGCGGCCGAGCAAGUCGAGUGUGAAAGCCCCGAGCUUAACUUGGGAACUGCGCUCGAAACUACUUGGCUAGAGUGUGGCAGAGGGAGGUGGAAUUCCACGUGUAGCGGUGAAAUGCGUUGAUAUUGGAAGGAACGCCGGAGGCGAAAGCGGCGCACUGGAUCUCUUCUGACGCUGAGGCACGAAAGCUAGGGGAGCAAACGGG
rnacentral:rRNA from 1 species